UGGGGAAUAUUGCACAAUGGGCGAAAGCCUGAUGCAGCAACGCCGCGUGAGUGAUGAAGGUCUUCGGAUUGUAAAGCUCUGUCUUUUGGGACGAUAAUGACGGUACCAAAGGAGGAAGCCACGGCUAACUACGUGCCAGCAGCCGCGGUAAUACGUAGGUGGCGAGCGUUGUCCGGAUUUACUGGGCGUAAAGGGUGCGUAGGCGGAUGUUUAAGUGAGAUGUGAAAUACCCGGGCUUAACUUGGGUGCUGCAUUUCAAACUGGAUAUCUAGAGUGCAGGAGAGGAGAAUGGAAUUCCUAGUGUAGCGGUGAAAUGCGUAGAGAUUAGGAAGAACACCAGUGGCGAAGGCGAUCCUCUGGACUGUAACUGACGCUGAGGCACGAAAGCGUGGGUAGCAGACAGGAUUAGAUACCCUGGUAGUCCACGCCGUAAACGAUGAGUACUAGGUGUAGGAGGUAUCGACCCCUUCUGUGCCGCAGUAAACACAUUAAGUACUC
rnacentral:rRNA from 1 species